AACGAACGCUGGCGGCAUGCCUAACACAUGCAAGUCGAACGAGGCCUUCGGGUCUAGUGGCGCACGGGUGCGUAACGCGUGGGAACCUGCCCUUAGGUUCGGAAUAACUCCCCGAAAGGGGUGCUAAUACCGGAUAAUGUCUUCGGACCAAAGAUUUAUCGCCUUUGGAUGGGCCCGCGUUGGAUUAGCUAGUUGGUAGGGUAAAAGCCUACCAAGGCGAUGAUCCAUAGCUGGUCUGAGAGGAUGAUCAGCCACACUGGGACUGAGACACGGCCCAGACUCCUACGGGAGGCAGCAGUGGGGAAUAUUGGACAAUGGGCGAAAGCCUGAUCCAGCAAUGCCGCGUGAGUGAUGAAGGCCUUAGGGUUGUAAAGCUCUUUUACCCGGGAUGAUAAUGACAGUACCGGGAGAAUAAGCUCCGGCUAACUCCGUG
rnacentral:rRNA from 1 species